CCUACGGGAGGCAGCAGUGAGGAAUAUUGGUCAAUGGGCGCGAGCCUGAACCAGCCAAGUAGCGUGAAGGAUGACUGCCCUACGGGUUGUAAACUUCUUUUAUAAAGGAAUAAAGUGAGGCACGUGUGCCUUUUUGUAUGUACUUUAUGAAUAAGGAACGGCUAACUCCGCGCCAGCAGCCGCGGUAAUACGGGGGAUCCGAGCGUUAUCCGGAUUGAUUGGGUUUAAAGGGAGCGUAGGUGGGUUGUUAAGUCAGUUGUGAAAGUUUGCGGCUCAACCGGAAAAUUGCAAUUGAUACUGGCAGCCUUGAGUACAGUUGAGGUAGGCGGAAUUCGAGGUGUAGCGGUGAAAUGCUUAGAGAUCACGAAGAACACCGAUUGCGAAGGCAGCUUACUAAACUGCCACUGACAUUGAUGCUCGAAAGUGUGGGUAUCAAACAGGAUUAGAUACCCCAGUAGUC
rnacentral:rRNA from 1 species